rnacentral:rRNA from 1 species
CAGUAGCCGCGGGAAUACGUAGGUGGCAAGCGUUGUCCGGAAUUAUUGGGCGUAAAGGGCUCGCAGGCGGUUUCUUAAGUCUGAUGUGAAAGCCCCCGGCUCAACCGGGGAGGGUCAUUGGAAACUGGGAAACUUGAGUGCAGAAGAGGAGAGUGGAAUUCCACGUGUAGCGGUGAAAUGCGUAGAGAUGUGGAGGAACAUCAGUGGCGAAGGCGACUCUCUGGUCUGUAACUGACGCAGAGGAGCGAAAGCGUGGGGAGCGAACAGGAUUAGAUACCCCUGUAGUCCCUGUCUCUUAUAC